rnacentral:rRNA from 1 species
GAGUUUGAUCGUGGCUCAGAGCGAACGCUGGCGGCAGGCCUAACACAUGCAAGUCGAACGAACUCUUCGGAGUUAGUGGCGGACGGGUGAGUAACACGUGGGAACGUGCCUUUUGGUUCGGAAUAACUCAGGGAAACUUGUGCUAAUACCGAAUGUGCCCUUCGGGGAAGGAUUUAUCGCCAUUAGAGCGGCCCGCGUCUGAUUAGCUAGUUGGUGAGGUAAAGGCUCACCAAGGCGACGAUCAGUAGCUGGUCUGAGAGGAUGAUCAGCCACAUUGGGACUGAGACACGGCCCAAACUCCUACGGGAGGCAGCAGUGGGGAAUCUUGCGCAAUGGGCGAAAGCCUGACGCAGCCAUGCCGCGUGAAUGAUGAAGGUCUUAGGAUUGU